rnacentral:lncRNA from 1 species
CCCGGACGUAGGUAGUUUGUUGGGCCGGGUUCUGAGGCCUUGCUUCUCUUUACUUUUCCACUCUAGGCCACGAUGCCGCAGUACCAGACCUGGGAGGAGUUCAGCCGCGCUGCCGAGAAGCUUUACCUCGCUGACCCUAUGAAGGCACGUGUGGUUCUCAAAUAUAGGCAUUCUGAUGGGAACUUGUGUGUUAAAGUAACAGAUGAUUUAGUUACCAAGCUCAAGAUGUAAAGAAGAUUGAGAAAUUCCACAGUCAACUAAUGCGACUUAUGGUAGCCAAGGAAGCCCGCAAUGUUACCAUGGAAACUGAGUGAAUGGUUUGAAAUGAAGACUUUGUCGUGUACUUAGGAAGUAAAUAUCUUUUGAAUUAGAGAAAGUGUUGGGACAGAAAGUACUUUAUGUAACUAAGUGGGCUGUUCAGAAGCUUAGAGGUCAUUUUUUGUAAUUUUCUUUUUAAUUACUUUAGAGAGCUAGGGAUGCAAAUGUUUUCAGUUAGAAAGCCUUUAUUUACUUUUGGAAAUUGAACAAGAAAUGCAUCUGUCUUAGAAACUGGAGAUUAUUUGAUGUUAGGUAAAACAUGUAAUUGUUUCUCUGGCAAAUUUGUAUCAGUAAUUUGAAAAUGAGAUAUUAGGAAAAACCAAUUCUUCUUAAAUUUAGUUCAUCUUUCUUUAAAAGAACAUUAAAUGUAACCAUUUUGUCAGAUCCAUGUAUUUUGGAGCAUAAAAUGUAUGCUGUUGUGACCAAUAAAUAUAAAAUAUGGUAAUUGGAAUUAACUCCACACCAUAGUAUGCAUUGUUAUACAUACUGUGUACCUAAUUAUGUAUAGCAGUGUAGUCUCAAUUAUAUCUGAAAGUAAUUGUGACUAACAAGUAUGCUUUGCCUUAUUUCCACAUUUAAACUACCUGUUAAUAUAAGGGAUUUGUAGUAUCAGCUUGUUGAGCAAUGACUUUGAAUCUAGUUUUCAGUGAUCAGAAGCAGCAGUUAUUUGAGUGUAUGAAUGGAAUGAUGAUCACUGUGCUAUAAUGUACUGAAACCACCAUAUUACAGAAAUAUUUACUACAUAUUUUCCAUCUGUAGUUUCUCAGAAGGGCUAUGGAUUAGUUUGAACUGUCAAAUCCUUGCAUACUUCUGUGACACCCCUGCCCAUUUUCUGUCUUUAAUUAACCAAGGUGUUAGGUGUGACUGUCACAACUGUUAUGUUUUCCAGUAAACUAGAAGUACGAUAUUUGAUAAUUAUAUUUGUAUUUCACCACCUAAAUGUAAUGUUGAUUCCUCAAGAAUGAAAUGAAGGCACUACAUUGAAAUAUGUUUUGUAUAAAUUUGUCAUGUUGAACAGCAUUUUAGCAUGGUAAGUUCCCUUAGCUAUAUGAAUUUUGGCAUGUUUCAGAGAGAUCAGUAAAUAAAAUAUUAGAUAAAAUA